rnacentral:rRNA from 1 species
CGACGUGAGGAACCUGCCUUUCAGAGGGGGACAACAGUUGGAAACGACUGCUAAUACCGCAUGACACAUCGGAGGGGCAUCCCUUUGAUGUCAAAGAUUUUAUCGCUGAAAGAUGGCCUCGCGUCUGAUUAGCUAGUUGGUGAGGUAACGGCCCACCAAGGCGACGAUCAGUAGCCGGACUGAGAGGUUGACCGGCCACAUUGGGACUGAGAUACGGCCCAG